rnacentral:rRNA from 1 species
GCCCAGACUCCUACGGGAGGCAGCAGUGGGGAAUAUUGCGCAAUGGGGGAAACCCUGACGCAGCAACGCCGCGUGAGUGAAGAAGUAUCUCGGUAUGUAAAGCUCUAUCAGCGGGGAAGAAGGAAGACGGUACCCGACUAAGAAGCCCCGGCUAACUACGUGCCAGCAGCCGCGGUAAUACGUAGGGGGCGAGCGUUAUCCGGAUUUACUGGGUGUAAAGGGCGUGUAGGCGGGGACGCAAGUCAGAUGUGAAAACCACUGGCUCAACCUGUGGCCUGCAUUUGAAACUGUGUUUCUUGAGUACUGGAGAGGCAGACGGAAUUCCUAGUGUAGCGGUGAAAUGCGUAGAUAUUAGGAGGAACACCAGUGGCGAAGGCGGUCUGCUGGACAGCAACUGACGCUGAGGCGCGAAAGCGUGGGGAGCAAACAGGAUUAGAUACCCCAGUAAA